rnacentral:piRNA from 1 species
UGAGAUCCAGGUGGUGAAUGAGGAGC